AUUGAACGCUGGCGGCAGGCUUAACACAUGCAAGUCGAGCGAGCGGCGGGGGGGUGAGUAAUGUCUGGGAAAGUGCGUGAUGGCGGGGGAUCAAUACUGGACGAGGUAGCUAAUAGCGCAUACCAUCAGAUGCGCCAAGAGGGGUUUAGCUAGUAGGUGGGGUAAUGGCUCACCGAGGCGACGAUCCCUAGCUGGUCUUAGGGGAUGAACAGCCACACUGGAACUGAGACACGGUCCAGACUCCUACGGGAGGCAGCAGUGGGGAAUAUUGCACAAUGGGCGCAAGCCUGAUGCAGCCAUGCCGCGUGUGUGAAGAAGGCCUUCGGGUUGUAAAGCACUUUCAGCGAGGAGGCGUUACUCGCAGAAGAAGCACCGGCUAACUCCGUGCCAGCAGCCGCGGUAAUAC
rnacentral:rRNA from 1 species